rnacentral:rRNA from 1 species
CCUACGGGGUGCAGCAGUGAGGAAUAUUGGUCAAUGGACGAGAGUCUGAACCAGCCAAGUAGCGUGAAGGAUGACUGCCCUAUGGGUUGUAAACUUCUUUUAUAUGGGAAUAAAAUGUUCCACGUGUGGGAUUUUGUAUGUACCAUAUGAAUAAGGAUCGGCUAACUCCGUGCCAGCAGCCGCGGUAAUAAGGAGGAUCCGAGCGUUAUCCGGAUUUAUUGGGUUUAAAGGGAGCGUAGGUGGAUUGUUAAGUCAGUUGUGAAAGUUUGCGGCUCAACCGUAAAAUUGCAGUUGAAACUGGCAGUCUUGAGUACAGUAGAGGUGGGCGGAAUUCGUGGUGUAGCGGUGAAAUGCUUAGAUAUCACGAAGAACUCCGAUUGCGAAGGCAGUUCACUGGACUGCAACUGACACUGAGGCUCGAAAGUGUGGGUAUCAAACAGGAUUAGAUACCCCAGUAGUC